CAUUUGACUUCUUCAAACGCCCUAGGCCGGGGAGUGGGAAGCAGAGGCAUUGUAGCUGCUAGGGAGUCCCAGCUCGGUGUAGAGGCUGCCGCUCCCCCUUCUCCCGCCCCUGCUGGGGGUUUCUGGCCACCCCAGAGGAAAGUAGUAUAGUGGAAAAAGCCCUGUCUAGGGUAUCAGGAGACCUGGAUUCUAGUUGUAACAGCUAUCAAAAAUCUCUAUGAACACAGGCAAGUCAUUAACCCAUAUGGGACUUAAUUUCCUCCUCUGAAAAUUAGAAAUAACAAUUAUGUUGUUUGAAAGAAAAACAUUUGGGCCAGAUUAUCUCAUGACCUUAUGACCUUCAAAUUCUUUUUUUUAAACCCUUACCUUUUGUCUUGUAUUGGUUCUACGGCAGAAGAGUGGUAAGGGCUAGGCAAAUGGGGUUAAGUAACUUGGCCAGGGUCACACAGCUAGAAAGUAUCUGAGGUCAUAUUUGAACCCAGGACCUUCUAUCUCUAGGCCUGAAUCUCAGGCCACUGAGCUGCCCCCAUGACCUUCACAUUCUAAAAUGUAAAAUUAUAGGAUUAUUACCUUGGACUGUUAAAUAUUCUAUUAUUAAUUUUUCAUACAUAUAUGAUCUUGUCUCAACUUGAAUAAUAGAAUCAGAAUUCUUAAGAAAUAUAAAGAUCCUUAGAGACUAUAAUCCAACUAUCAUUUAACAGCUAAGAAAGCUGAAUUUCAGAGGUUAAAUGAUUUGCCCCAAAUCAGAGAUAGAAUGGCAAAAAUUAAAACCCAAGGCUUCUGACUUCCAAGAGUGAGAAAGCAAAUUCUCAGAGGGCAAGAAUUGUCUUUUAAACUUAUUUGUAUUUCCCAUAGUGCCUUAUAUGUUUUGUGGUUCUAAUUCUUUCUCUUUAUUCUAUUCAUUCAUUUAUUUAUUUCUUCUGUUGUAUUCCCCCCUACUCAAAGGAUGGCCAACAUAAAGAAGUACUCAAUACAAAGCUAUCCUAUGACAAUUUUAUGAUAAUCCUGAAUUCUCUUUAAACAAUAGAAUUUGAUGUAUAAAUUCAUGUCCUUACAUUUCUUAGUCUAUUUAGCAUGAGGUUCAGAGCCAAGUGGUCUCAGAUACAGGAAAAUAUCACAUUUUACUGUUGCCUACACCUUUGCAUGUCUUUCAUACUCAUUUCCACUUGAAAUCCUACCAUCCAUUAAAAGCCUUAAAAUUCAAAUGUUACUUCCAUGAAAUUUUUGCUAAAUCUUCAACUCUCUUAGUACUCUUUCUGAUGUACUCAUCAUAUUCUACUUUUGUAUUAAAGUUAUGUGUCCCCUUCUUAACCCCAUUUGAUUUUAAAUUCCUUAAAAUUAGAAAAUAUCUUUAUUUACCUUUUGUAUCUCUCCCAGGAUCCAGCACUAGUGCUUUUGCAUAUAGCAGAGGUGCUUAAAUCACUAUCCAGCUAUUGUAUAUUACUUGAAGAAAGCACUUCUAACUUCAAAAGAAAAUAAAACAACUGUGGUCUAUACUUGAAUUUGUAUUCAAAUGAUAGACUCCAUUUCCAGGAAAACACACACACACACACAAAUAAGCAUUCUAAUUUAAUUACUCCUGAAUUGCUUUCCCAAAUGUUUUAUCUAAGAAUAAAACCCUAUAUUUAUUUAAAUAUUGGACAUCCACAUUCCAAUCUGUACUAGCAUAUCAGCGUGAGACAAUAACUUGUUUACAAAUUGAUAUCAAGUCCCAAGCUUGCUGGCAGGAUCUAAGUUAGAUACUAUAUACUAAUUGGACUAAAAAUAGAUUCAUCUGUUCAUAUAGAGACUAACUUAAUUCAGUAAAAUGAAAUAUUUUUUAAAAAUUCAAUAGACAACAACUAUAUAACUGGGGCAGGGGAAGGGGGAAAAGGGUUAAAGAAGUAUAAGACAAGAAAAUUUUUACUGCUGGUUCUGAAGCUUCUGCCAAGAUUACUUUUUAUCAAGUUAUUUAGUUUCUUAGCUUUGUUAGGUAAAUCACUUUGCAGAAAAUAUGGGGAGAUUUAUCUUGCCCUACCCUACUUAAAACAAAUCUAAGGGUAUCUCACAGAUAACCUAAAUUUGCUUUCAAAUGCCUAAGAAACUGAUUUUUCUGUUCUGUUUUUUCCUCCUCCUGCCUGACUCCAACCUUAUCAAUGCAUAAAGAACCCAUUUUUAUGACCCUAGCAACACUCAGACAGAUUAUCCUAAUUCUUUAAAUGUCAUUUAGUUUUUUAUAAAAAAACCCAAUACAUUGAAGUAUUGAGGUUUUUUUUUUUUCAUACAAGGAAACCUGCUCUUUCUAAGUUCUAGGCUGCUUGGGCUAUCAAUCCAACAUGCAACUUUCUACUACUCCUUAACUGCAUCUCUCAGGGCCAAACACUUAAAGCUGUUUAUUAAGCCAGAAGACAACCCGUCACAAUGUUAAGUGGCUUUAUUGUAACAUGAAAUGGGUACAGUUCCUGGGUCUCUGCUUUGAUAGGCCCUGAGUAAUGAUGAAUGUGAUUCAGGGAAUCUUCAAUUGAAGAUGCAUCUGUUCUACAGAAUCUCUCUACUAAUUUUGUAAUUAGAGCACUGUUUAAUAAAAAUAACAUUUAUAUAGCAUUUUAGGGUUUGCAAAGUACUUUACAAAUAUUAUCUUAUUUGAUUGUCACAACAACCCAGGAAAGUAGGUGCUACUAUUAUCCUUAUUUUACAGAUGAGGAAAUUGAGGCAGAUAUUAAACGAGUUAACCAGGAUCACACCAGUAGAAAGUGUCUGAAGUGAGAUAUGAACUCAGGUCUUCCAAAUUCCAGAUCCAGUGAUCUGUCGAUAGCACCACCUCGAUGGCUAUUGCCAAGAGGUCAAGAAACGAAAGGCAACAAUAGUUUUUUUUCCAUCAUAUAGCUGCCAUACAUGACUUACCAUUUUUGGCAUAUGGAAGUCCAGAAUCUCAUGGAUAAUCUACUCCAAGAACUACAGCACUUCCCAAUUCAGGACAGCUAAAUAAUAUGUAGCAAUUUGGGAAUAUAUUCAGGUACAAAGAAAAUACCAAACUUGUAGCACUGUUCUUCCUUCCUACUUAUAUAUAAUCUCAUAUAUAUGAUAAAUUCCUGCUCAGAUCCUAUAAAGUUUCCAUCGCUAUCAAAGAAAUUCUUCCCUUUCUGAAAUACUUUGCCCCUGAAUUCCUCACUACCUGUCUCUGGUUUCUUUACCAUUACCACCUCUUCUUUCUUACCACCUCCUUCUUUCUCCUUACUUAGUAGCCAGCCCACUUCUCAUUCCCCAACCUCUCAGAUCUUUUGCCCUAACUUUCUGGCUUCUUUUGAUUUUCCAAGCCUUAGAAUUCCUCUCCAUUUCCGGUAAAGUUGAAUUGUAAUAUUGG